CCAUGAUUCCAUGAUAUUGAUAGAAGCCUAUUAAAUUGGGAAACAACAUUCAAAACCAUGGCAUUUGUAAAUUAGACCUCUCCAUAUGCAACCAUGUGAAGGUUUUCUUUUUUCUUUUUCUUUUUUUGACUGUAAACUAGCAGUAGUGAGGAAUCUCCCCCAGCAGAAUUUAUUGAAUAGAGACAAAGGAUGCACAAGGUGAAUAAGAUAUAUACAAAGAAGUUACAGGAGAUUAGUGGCCAUACAAUAACAACAAAGAAGAAAGAUCAUCGUAGAG
rnacentral:lncRNA from 1 species